CCCGCACACCCACCCGUGCACGGCAGGAGCGGGGGACCCACGAACCACUGCCUGUUCCGGUCUUCCGGAACUGGCUCGGGGUGAAGCCGCGGUGCGCGGCCGGGCAGCUCCAGCCCGAACCCGACAGCUCACCUCGCAGGCGCCGGAGAGGAAUG
rnacentral:sRNA from 2 species